UUAGUUUAUUAUAAAAAAAAAUAAAUUGUUUUGAUUUAACAAAAAUAAAACUGAAU
rnacentral:tRNA from 1 species